rnacentral:rRNA from 1 species
UCCCAGCCGUAAACGAUGCGGGCUAGGUGUUGAGGUGGCUACGAGCCACUUCAGUGCCGCAGGGAAGCCAUUAAGCCCGCCGCCUGGGGAGUACGGCCGCAAGGCUGAAACUUAAAGGAAUUGGCGGGGGAGCACCACAAGGCGUGAAGCUUGCGGUUCAAUUGGAGUCAACGCCGGGAACCUUACCGGGGGCGACAGCAGGAUGAAGGCCAGAUUGAAGGUUUUGCUGGACAAGCUGAGAGGAGGUGCAUGGCCGUCGCCAGUUCGUGCCGUGAGGUGUCCUGUUAAGUCAGGCAACGAUCGAGACCCGCGCUCCUAGUUGCUACCGAGGAAGUUUUCCAAGGGGCACUCUAGGGGGACUGCCGUCGAUAA